GUUGAUCCUGCGGGAGAUUGCUGCUAUGGGAGUUCGAUUAAGCCAUGCAAGUCAGAGGGUCUCUUCGGAGACACAGGCUGAAUGCUCAGUAACACGUCAAUAAUCUGCCCUUAGGUUCGGGAUAGCUUUGGGAAACUGAAGGUAAUACCGGAUAGGUAAAUGGUACUGGAAUGUCUUUUUGCUUAAAGGCAACGCCUAAGGAUGAGUUGGCGGCUGAUUAGGUUGUAGGUAGUGUAACGGACUACCAAGCCUUUGAUCAGUACGGGCCGUGAGAGCGGGAGCCCGGAGAAGGGUACUGAGGCACUGACCCUAGCCCUGCGGGGUGCAGCAGGCGCGAAAACUUUACACUGUACGAAAGUGCGAUAAGGGAACUCCCAGUGCUCAUGCAAUGCAUGGGCUUUUGUCAAGUGUAAACAACUUGGCGAAUAAGUGGUGGGUAAGACGGGUGCCAGCCGCCGCGGUAACACCUGCGCCACAAGUGGCAAUCGCAUUUAUUGGGCCUAAAGCGUUCGUAGCCGGAUCAGCAAGUCUUGAGUGAAAUCGUUGCGCUUAACAAAACGACGUGCUUGAGAUACUACUAAUCUUGAGACCGGGAGGCGUUAGGGGUAUUCCUGAGGGAGCGGUAAAAUGCUAUAAUCUCAGGAGGACCACCUGUGGCGAAGGCGCCUAACGAGAACGGGUCUGACGGUGAGGAACGAAAGCUAGGGGAGCAAACCGGAUUAGAUACCCGAGUAGUCCUAGCCGUAAACGCUGUGUACUAGAUGUGGCCUAUUCUAUAUGGAUAGGCCGUGUCGAAGCGAAGGUAUUAAGUACACCGCCUGGGAAGUACGGUCGCAAGGCUGAAACUUAAAGGAAUUGGCGGGAGAGCACCACAAGGGGUGCGGCGUGCGGUUUAAUCCAACUCAACGCGGAGAAUCUCACCAGCAGCGACGGCAGGAUGAAGGUCAGAUUAAAGGUCUUACCUAACAAGCCGAGAGGUAGUGCAUGGCCGUCGGCAGCUCGUGCCGUAAGGUGUCCUCUUAAGUGAGGUAACGAGCGAGACCCAUACCCAUAAUUGCUAACAGGUUCUUUAGAAUGACUGAGCACAUUAUGGGGACUGCCUUGGAAACAAGGAGGAAGGUGUGGGCCACGGUAGGUCUGUACGCUCCGAAUCUGCUGGGCUACACGCGCGCAACAAUGGCAAGGACAAUAGGAUGCAACACCGAAAGGUGAAGCUAACCCCGUAAACCUUGUCCUAGUUUGGAUUGAGGGCUGUAACUCGCCCUCAUGACAACGGAAUCCCUAGUAAUCGGGCUUCAUCAUGGCCCGGUGAAUAUGUCCCUGCUCUUUGCACACACCGCCCGUCAAACCAACCGAGUUGGGUCUAGGUGAGAUGCAGCUUUGAGCUGCCUCGAACCCAGAUUCGAUGAGGUGGGUUAAGUCGUCACAAGGUA
rnacentral:rRNA from 1 species